GAUAACAGCAGUAUACAGCAGGGUGAUGUAUAAUGCAAAUAGCAAUUGACACAGGUUGCAACAAUAUGGUGUACUGUCUUUUAAUGAAAAAGAUAGUUUGGAAAAAAUAAGAUUAGUAUGAGAAAGUAUCUAUUAUCUCAAUUACUAAGUUAACACUUCACUUGUAACGUGUCCUGGAUCUAAAAAGAUGGCUUGAGAAUUGGGCACAUAAACAAACUUCCAGUAGCAAGACCUCGGGCAUUGCCAUAGGAAAGAGACAACAAAAUAUCAUGCUUUGUAUAUGAGUUACCAAGUAAUAUGUCAUAAAGAAGGCCUGAGCAGCAAAAUAUGAAAACAGUGAAAAGAAGAGAGAAAUGAAGCUGAAGACAGAAAACAAGAAAGAAAAGUGUCCUGACAGAAUAUGGGAUAUAAAAAGAAAUAGCCUGUGUGACGAUCUAAUCGUAUGCCUUUUGAGCAAAAACUUGCACAGGGCCUUAGACCUGGUCCUAGCACUGCCAGCUAGUGGAUCCACACUUGUCAGUACAAAAUAGGGAAUCCAGCCUGGAAGCCACUUUUUUCCCCAUGAGCCAAAGAAAUGAAGUAAGGGUCGGGGCCUGACAGCCGACUGAGGCAGCUGCAUGCAACUAGGGCUUCUCAAU